rnacentral:rRNA from 1 species
CCCGCCGCGGUAACGACGGGUAACGGGGAAUCAGGGUUCGAUUCCGGAGAGGGAGCCCCGAGAAAACGGCUACCACUUCCAAGGAAGGCAGCAGGCGCGCAACUUACCCUAAUCUCGAUUCGAGGAGGUAGUGACAAGAAAUACCGAUGCGGGACCCUACGGGUGCCGCGUUCGGAAUGAGUACGAUUCGAACCACCUAACGAGGAACGAUCGGAGGGCAAGUCUGGUGCCAGCAGCCGCGGUAAUUCCAGCUCCAAUAGCGUACGUUAAAGUUGCUGCAGUUAAAAAGCUCGUAGUUGAACGUUCGGGUUCCGCGGGACGGGGCCGCCCCGCGAGGGACGGCGCCGCCCCGGGGCUCGUGAUAUCUCAUCUCGCCGCCCGUCGCGAGGCGGACGGAGGGAUGGAUGAGGUUACCUGGAAAAAAUCGGGGCGAUCUAGGCGGGCGAACCUCGCCAACGAACGAUCGGACAUGGGAU